rnacentral:rRNA from 1 species
GACGAACGCUGGCGGCGUGCUUAACACAUGCAAGUCGAACGAAGAGCGACGGAAGCUUGCUUCUAUCAAUCUUAGUGGCGAACGGGUGAGUAACGCGUAAUCAACCUGCCCUUCAGAGGGGGACAACAGUUGGAAACGACUGCUAAUACCGCAUACGAUCUAAUCUCGGCAUCGAGGAUGGAUGAAAGGUGGCCUCCACAUGUAAGCUAUCACUGAAGGAGGGGAUUGCGUCUGAUUAGCUAGUUGGAGGGGUAACGGCCCACCAAGGCGAUGAUCAGUAGCCGGUCUGAGAGGAUGAACGGCCACAUUGGGACUGAGACACGGCCCAGACUCCUACGGGAGGCAGCAGUGGGGAAUCUUCCGCAAUGGACGAAAGUCUGACGGAGCAACGCCGCGUGAGUGAUGACGGCCUUCGGGUUGUAAAGCUCGGUUAAUCGGGACGAAAGGCCUUCUUGCGAAUAGUGAGAAGGAUUGACGGUACCGGAAUAGAAAGCCACGGCUAACUACGUG